rnacentral:rRNA from 1 species
AUGAGCUGUGUUGUGUUUUACUGCUCAUGGUUGUGCUGUCUAUUAUACUGUGUUAAAGAUACACGAUUCACAUAUCUUGAUCUUGGAAGUUAUUGA